rnacentral:tRNA from 1 species
GCCGGGGUAGCUCAGGUGGUAGAGCAGGGGACUGAAAAUCCCCGUGUCGGCGGUUCAACUCCGUCCCCCGGCACCA